UAAGCCCUUAGGUCCCAGACAGGGGCUGGAUGGUGCUCAAGCUGGUAGCCCUGAUCUGCCUAGCACUGCAGCUGGGCUGCAUCAUCCUCACCAGUUUCUCACUGGACUUCUUGCUGGCUGCCACUAUGGUGCCUGCCGCUGCGCUCACCGAGCCUCAUGGGCCCUGGACCCUCUACACUGCCCUGCUGGCGCUGACAAGCCCGGCGGCCACGCUCCCUGGCAACCCAUUCCUGUGGCAGGAGCUGCAGGAGGCACCACUGUCACUGGCCGAAGGCUGGCAGCUCUUCCUUGCAGUACUGGCCCAGGGUGUGCUGGAGCACCACACCUAAGGCGCCCUGCUCUUCCCACUGCCGUCCCUGGGCCUCUACCCUUGCUGGCUGCUUUCCUGGCAUGUGCUCUUCUGGAAGUGAGAUCUGCCUGUCCAAGGCACCAGGCUGGGACAGAGACUCCCCAAGAACCCCAUUCUGCCUCCUUCCGGGGAAAUAAACAAGUGCCUGUUUCAGCUGCUUAAAAAAAAAAAAAAUGCGCUGGAAAAUACGUUGUUAACAAAAAGA